rnacentral:rRNA from 1 species
GACGAACGCUGGCGGCGUGCUUAACACAUGCAAGUCGAACGGAAAGGCCCUGCUUUUGUGGGGUGCUCGAGUGGCGAACGGGUGAGUAACACGUGAGUAACCUGCCCUUGACUCUGGGAUAACUCCAGGAAACUGGGGCUAAUACCGGAUAGGAGCUCCUGCUGCAUGGUGGGGGUUGGAAAGUUUCGGCGGUUGGGGAUGGACUCGCGGCUUAUCAGCUUGUUGGUGGGGUAGUGGCUUACCAAGGCUUUGACGGGUAGCCGGCCUGAGAGGGUGACCGGCCACAGUGGGACUGAGAUACGGCCCAGACGCCUACGGGAGGCAGGAGUGGGGAAUAUUGCACAAUGGGCGGAGGCCUGAUGCAGCAACGCCGCGUGCGGGAUGACGGCCUUCGGGUUGUAAACCGCUUUCGCCUGUGACGAAGCGUGAGUGACGGUAAUGGGUAAAGAAGCACCGGCUAACUACGU